rnacentral:lncRNA from 1 species
CCUUACUUGACCUUAUCUUGCAUUAAAAUGUCUCAUGUAUCUAUAUAUGUGUAUGUGUGAGGUAUUCAAAGUGGUGAGGAAGUUAUAUACUGUCAAAUAAUUUGAAAUGUUAGAAGGGAGGCAUCCUCCUUAUCACACAGAGCAGUGAUCAAAAGUUUCACAAUCACAAUAUUUUCUUACCAUGAAGGACUGUUCAAAUACCAGUGUUACAAAAAAAGACUUUUGUUAGUAAGAUAAGAGUGCGUUCCAGUUUUUGUCAGUUCAAGAUCUUCUUUAGAUCACUCAGCAUGUUCUAAGAGCGUAGAUACUCAGGCCACCCCGUCCCCCCACCUCCGAGACCUCUAACUCAGAAUCUUUAGGCC